CGAAAUGGCCGAGCGGUCUAAGGCGUCAGGUUUAGGCCCUGAUCCGAAAGGGCGUGGGUUCAAAUCCCACUUUCGUC
rnacentral:ncRNA from 18 species